UACGAAGGGUGCAAGCGUUAAUCGGAAUUACUGGGCGUAAAGGGUGCGUAGGCGGUUGUUUAAGUCUGUCGUGAAAUCCCCGGGCUCAACCUGGGAAUGGCGAUGGAUACUGGACAGCUAGAGUGUGUCAGAGGAUGGUGGAAUUCCCGGUGUAGCGGUGAAAUGCGUAGAGAUCGGGAGGAACAUCAGUGGCGAAGGCGGCCAUC
rnacentral:rRNA from 1 species